UGUAGCAGAAAGGGGCUAUGAAGGGGGUGUCUGCAGCCACCAUCUGGGAGCAGACGAGUGGUGAGGAGGAAACCAGGGGGUGAAGAAACCCUGAAUCCUAGCCCUGGAAGAAGGGCCAACCCAGAGAACUUGUGGGGAAAGGGAGCCUGGGAGAGGCUGGGUAGGAAGGAGCCCAGGGAAACAGCAGCAGGAGGGGGAUGGGGGCAGACCUUGGCUGCUGGUUAUAGGCUCCCUGGGCUGGACCCCUGUAUAAAGGGAGGGCCUGGCUUCCUUACCAGCCACUGACCAAAGAGGCAUGAGCCCAGAGCCCGGGCAGGAGACCUGACACAACGCCUAGGAAUUACUUGUUGGACUUUGUCACCGAAUAUCGACAAAUAUCGUUGCCUGGCUGGCAGGAAGCGAGGCCGUCGCAGCACCGGAACGACCAUCGGCAGCGUGCACUGUACGGGGCGAGAGCUGCUACGCCACCCCCGGCUCCUGCGCACAGACUGGAGAAGAGCAGAUUGUGUGAGAGCUGCAGAGCCAGCGUGAACAGCAGUCAGCCUGCUGCAUGCAUAUCAAACACCAUCCAGAGCGACGGUAUAUAAAUAGCAUGUUAAUGAGGAGACGCUUAGUUUAAACAGGUCCAGCUCUUGUCUCCUCCGCAUUCAAAUCUGGCAGCUUUCUCGGCUCAGUUGCGGGAGGAUCAUUGAGCGCACAGGAGAAACAGGUUCCCCGGUCUCAGUUUUGGUGUCUGGACCCAGCCUGGAGCAGCCCAGAGCUACAAUUGUACGGAAAGUCUCGCUCAGCACCAGGAUGGAGCAUUCUCGGUGCAAACGGAAACUUCAGCAAUUGUAACUCUGAAGCUCUAUUAGCCCGAGCCUUUCCGACGUACGGCGCCCAAGGCAACGUGAUCCCGAGCUCAGCUGAGGCCUCCGUAACGCUACUAGCAAUAACAGCUACUGAAACAGUUAGCUCCGGGCAGCUGCGGGAGAGUCGUUACGCUUUAUGCGGUCUUCGCUGAUGCCGAUUUAACAGGCAGGAUGUACCCAGGUAGCGUUUCAGAGCCCACAAUGGAUUUGAAACGCCGGUAGUCAAGAAAAAUGACCAAUCUCCUAGCACUGUUAUAGCACUGUCCGUACACAGGCCUUAAAAUGUUUUUAUAAAGGAGGGUCCAUAUCAUAUAGAGUUUGAGAUCGUUAAGGCCAGAAGGGAUUGUUUGUUAAAUCCUCUAGCCUGGCUUCCUGUGGAGCAUAGGCCGUUACGUUUCACCCAGUUACUUCCGUAUUAAGCCCGAUAACUGGUCUUUGACUAAAGCAUCACCCAGAAAGGCCUCCAGUGUUGACCUGAAAACUUCAAGAGCUGGAGAAACCGCCACUUCUCUUCCUCGUUUGUUCCAAACGGUUAAUCGCCUCACGUAAAAGCUUGCGCCGUCUCAUUUAAAUUUGUCUGGCUUUAACUUCCAGCCAGUAGUUCUUGUUUUGCCUCUCUCCUCUAGAUUAAA